GAAGAGGGUCGGGCGGACGCUCUUUUUGGAAUACCCAAUAAGGGAGGAAAGUCCGGACACUUUGGGGCAGGGUGGACGAUAACAUCGUCCUGUUGAAAGGCAGGGAAAGUGCAACAGAAAACAGACCGCACCUUUUAGGUGUAAGGGUGAAACGGUGAGGUAAGAGCUCACCACAUCUGCGGUGACGCAGAUGGUAUGGCAAACCCACCCGGUGCAAGGCAAACAGCGGUAUAUCAGCCCCAAGAUGCCGCGGGUGGCUGCUUAGAGAAAUGUCCGCCGCUUCCGCUGUAUCUCUAUUCAGAUACAGCGGUUGAACAGAAUCCGGCUUACAGACCCUCUUAUCCC
rnacentral:RNase_P_RNA from 1 species